rnacentral:lncRNA from 1 species
CGGGAAGGCUGUGGGAAGGGAAUUUAGCAGGGAAGGAAGGAGGGAAAGAUGAAGCAGAGUUGUUUAUUGGGGGUGUGGAAUCCAUGUAAUCCAGGGAUUUGUGAAUACAGAAGGAUUGGGAGUUCCUGGGAAUGGGACAGUUGCUUUCAAGAGCUCCGAGGAGUGUUGGAAGGAGCCAGCAGGGAAUCUUCUGCCCCUUCUGGAGGGAAACAUCUUCGCUUUUCCUGUUGGUUCCCCGCUCUGUCUUUGACCUCUUGGCCUCGCGUGUAUCCGCAGUAA